rnacentral:lncRNA from 1 species
AGUGCCAUCUUUUUUGUUCCUUACUGUACAUGUGACUUGCAAAGAGAAGAGAUGAUGGAGCCGCCAUUUUGAACAUGCCUAUUCCCAGGGUCCCUUAGCUGUGGUGCAAGUGGGGCAUGUGCAAUCAAAAAUUCAUCCAUUCUGAGCAGCUUUCUUGAGCCUUGGACCAGUUCACAAUGGACCUGAGGCUUCUUUUGCCCCUUUCUGCUUAUGGGUGCAGUGGAUGAGAUACUGUUUGAUAACAUGAGAAGACCAACAAGAUCAGAACAGAAACCCUCAGGCUACAAAUACAUGGAAAUAGCAAAUAGUGCCACCACGCCCAGCUAAUUUAUUUUGUAUUUUUCGGGGUCUCACCAUCUUGGCCAGGCUGGUCUUGAACUCCUUACCUUGUGAAACACCCACCUUGGCCUCCCAAACUGCUGGGAAUACAGGCAUGAGCCACCACACCGGGCCAAUACAUAGUUUUUUAUAAAGAGAUAUUCGCCUGUGAAAGAAAUUGAAUCCAUGGUUGUCAGAAGUGAAUAGAAAGUUAAAAACCAUUAAUAAGUUAAUAUUUUCAUUAAUUCAACAAAUAUGAUUGAGUACAAUGAGAUCCCAGGCACUAUUCAGGAUUUCCACAGACAUGAAUGAAACAAAAGUCUUCCUAAUGUCAGAGCUAAAGUAAUAAACACAGUACUUUUCAAUAAAAUCACAGGGAUUAUUGGACAAGGAAUGAGUAUUCACACCUAUAUUCUUUUCUUGAAGACAAGAAUGUUCAAGCACACUGAAGAUGAGGAACUAAAACUAAGACAAUGUAAAGAGGUCAAAUCGACUUUCUCUAUAAGCAAAGCAAAAGCAUCAUCAGUCUACCAUGACUCUCAGUGAAUCAAAAGCUAUUUAUCAGAAAAAAAAGUACAUUCGGCCGGGCGUGGUGGCUCACGCCUGUAAUCCCAGCACUUUGGGAGGCCGAGGCAGGUGGAUCACAAGGUCAGGAGAUCAAGACCAACCUGGCUAACACAGUAAAACCCCGUCUCUACUAAAAAUACAAAAAAUUCCCGGGCGUGGUGGCGGUUGCCUGUAGUCCCAGCUACUUGGGAGGCUGAGGCAGGAGAAUGGCAUGAACCCGGGAGGCAGAGCUUCCAGUGAGCCGAGAUUGUGCUACUACGCCCCAGCCUGGGCGAGACUCCGUCUCAAAAAAAAAAAAAAAAAAAAAAAGCAGAAAA